GUUCCGCUCUCCAAGGACAUCCGAUAAAAUUGAAACGAUACAGAGAAGAUUAGCAUGACCCCUAUGCAAGGAUGACAUGCAUAGAAAUGGUCCAAAUUUUU